GGCGCAGUGGCGGAGUGGUUAUCGCGUAUGACUAGAAUCUAGUCUAUCAUAUUCCUUCGGGAGCAGAAGUUCGAAUCUUCUCUGCGUCG